rnacentral:lncRNA from 10 species
CUCGCCCCCUGCCCGGCCGAAAUAACUCCCUCUGAAAUCCCUUGGGCUCACAGCUCUGCAGCGGGGGUAAAUCAGCUCGAGAAGACCUCGGUUGUACCUUCCACGGGCUGGAAAAUGGGCACGGCAAAGAUAGGCACGGCCUGAUCCCUGGAGCCUGCGAAUGCUACUUUCCAUGGCAGCGUCUUUGCAGUCUUGCUGUGUGGCUUUAGGCAGAUCGUGCAACCUCUCUGAGAGACGCUUUAGUCCGGGGAUGUCCACUCUUUUAACUUCCCUGGGCCACAUUGGAAGAAGAAUUUGUCUUGGGCCACACAUAAAAUACUCUUAACACUGGCGGGGCGCGGUGGCUCACGCCUGUAAAUCCCAGCACUUUGUGAGGCCGAGGCUGGUGGAUCACCUGACAUCAGAAGUUUGAGACCAGCCUGGCCAACGUGGCAAAACCCCGUGUCUACUAAAGAUAGAAAAAAUAAGCUGGGCAUGGUGGCCUGCGCCUGUAAUCCCAGCUACUCGGGAGGCCAAGGCAGGAGAAUCGCUUGACCUGGAAGGCAGAGGUUGACGUGAGCCCAGAUCGGGCCACUGCACUCCAGCCUGGGUGAGAGAGAGAGACUUUGUCUCAGAGAAAAAAAAAAAAAAAACGAAAACAAAAACAAAAACCAAAACUUAGGCGUUUUAAGAAAAUUUACCAAUUUGUCUUGGGCCACAAGCUGCCCGUGCGGUUGGACAAGCUGGCUUUAGUCCAUUCUUUGGAAGGGGAGGGGUAGUAAAAUAAUACCAAAGUGCCUUGUAAAUUGUAAAAGGUCCCACAUAUUAUAGGCUAUUAAGAAUGCUCCCAGGGGAGGGAAAUAUUAAAACACUUAAAACCCAUUUCACAUUUAUACCUUUAGUAUGAUUAGUUUAUAUGUAUAGGCCGGGAGCAGUGGCUCACGUCUGUAAUCCCAGCACUUUGGGAGUCUGAGGCAUGCAGAUCACUUGAGGUCAGGAGUUCGAGACCAGCCUGGCCAACAUGAUGAGACGCCCAUCUCUACUAAAACUACAAAAAUUAGCCAGGCGUCGUGGCGGGUGCCUACAAUCCUGGCUACUCGGGAGGCUGAGGCAGGAGAAUCACAACCUGGGAGGCGGAGGUUCAGUGAGCUGAGAUCACGCCACUGCACUUCAGCUUGGGUGACAGAGCAAGACUUCAUCUCAAAUUAAAAUAUAAAAAUUUGUAUGUAUUUACUCAACAAACAUUUCUGCAGAGAUCAACAAUGUGCCAGGGCCUCUAGACUCAGAUACCAGUGCCUGAGGCAGAGAAAGAGACUGCCCAAAGAUAAUUUUUGAAUAGUUUGUAGCAAGUCAGCAAGAAGGAAGGAGGGUCUGGGGAAGGAGGGACCAAGGCUGUGUUCUGAAUGUUGCUAGAGGAGAAAAGGUUCUGUAAGGGACAGAGGGAUGCAGUCUAGAGGGGUAGGGAGCAGGUGGGAGGCUGCUUCCCAGACUUCACUACUUGGGAGGCCCACAGACUUGGGCUAUGGCAGCCGUUGUUACUAUGGCUUAAGGGAGAGAAACAGAAGUGUGGAUGCUUCUAACAAAGAGAUAAAGAAUAAAUACAUAAAGAGGGUAGGUAUUGCAUUGUUUUAUUUUUACGUACCCCUAAAGAGGGGUUAGAGGCCGGGCGUGGUGGCUUAUGC